rnacentral:rRNA from 1 species
GCUAAGAAUAUUCCGCAAUGGACGAAAGUCUGACGGAGCGACGCCGCGUGGAUGAAGAAGGCCGAAAGGUUGUAAAAUCCUUUUGUCGGGGAAGAAUAAGCGUGGGAGGGAAUGCCCGCGUGAUGACAUGAACCGGCGAAUAAGCCCCGGCUAACUACGUGCCAGCAGCCGCGGUAACACGUAGGGGGCAAGCGUUGUUCGGAAUUACUGGGCGUAAAGGGCAUGUAGGCGGUUUUGUAAGCCUGGCGUGAAAUUCUGCAGCUUAACUGUAGGACUGCGCUGGGAACUGCGAGACUGGAGUCACGGAGAGGGAGCCAGAAUUCCAGGUGUAGGGGUGAAAUCUGUAGAUAUCUGGAAGAAUACCAAUGGCGAAGGCAGGCUUCUGGCCGAUGACUGACGCUGAGGUGCGAAAGCGUGGGUAGCAAACAGGAUUAGAUACCCGGGUAGUCC